rnacentral:rRNA from 1 species
AGCGAACGCUGGCGGCAGGCCUAACACAUGCAAGUCGAACGAACUCUUCGGAGUUAGUGGCGGACGGGUGAGUAACACGUGGGAACGUGCCUUUUGGUUCGGAAUAACUCAGGGAAACUUGUGCUAAUACCGAAUGUGCCCUUCGGGGGAAAGAUUUAUCGCCAUUAGAGCGGCCCGCGUCUGAUUAGCUAGUUGGUGAGGUAACGGCUCACCAAGGCGACGAUCAGUAGCUGGUCUGAGAGGAUGACCAGCCACACUGGGACUGAGACACGGCCCAGACUCCUACGGGAGGCAGCAGUGGGGAAUCUUGCGCAAUGGGCGAAAGCCUGACGCAGCCAUGCCGCGUGAAUGAUGAAGGUCUUAGGAUUGUAAAAUUCUUUCACCGGGGACGAUAAUGACGGUACACGGAGAAGAAGCCCCGGCUAACUUCGUG